rnacentral:rRNA from 1 species
AUUGAACGCUGGCGGCAUGCCUUACACAUGCAAGUCGAACGGUAACGGGCCUUCGGGUGCCGACGAGUGGCGAACGGGUGAGUAAUACAUCGGAACGUGCCCGAUCGUGGGGGAUAACGAGGCGAAAGCUUUGCUAAUACCGCAUACGAUCUACGGAUGAAAGCAGGGGACCGCAAGGCCUUGCGCGGACGGAGCGGCCGAUGGCAGAUUAGGUAGUUGGUGGGAUAAAAGCUUACCAAGCCGACGAUCUGUAGCUGGUCUGAGAGGAUGAUCAGCCACAGUGGAACAGAGACACGGCCCAGACCCCUGGGGGAGGAAGGAGGGGGGAUUUGGGGACAAGGGGCGAAGGCUGGACCCACCCACGCGGCGGGAGGGAGGGAGGCUUUGGGUUUGAAAACUGUUUUUACGGGGAAGAAAAAGCCUUUUUUUAAUACAGGGGGGCCAGGAGGGUACCGAAAGAAUAAGCACGGGCAAACGACGGC